GGGGGCAAUCUUGGUACAGGCAGGGCUCUGCUUCCUCAUGCCAAAGCCUUCAGCAAGGAGAACACUGAGCUGCAAAACCACAUCUCCUGGGA